rnacentral:rRNA from 1 species
CAGCAGCCGCGGUAAAACGAAGGGUGCAAGCGUUACUCGGAAUUACUGGGCGUAAAGCGUGCGUAGGUGGUGGUUUAAGUCCGUUGUGAAAGCCCUGGGCUCAACCUGGGAAUUGCAGUGGAUACUGGGUCACUAGAGUGUGGUAGAGGAUAGUGGAAUUUCCGGUGUAGCGGUGAAAUGCGUUGAGAUCGGAAAGAACACCAACGGCGAAAGCACUCUGCUGGGCCGACACUGACACUGAGAGACGAAAGCUAGGGGAGCAAAUGGGAUUAGAUACCCCAGUAGUCCCUGUCUCUUAUAA